rnacentral:pre_miRNA from 1 species
AUCGCGAUGCGAAGGGCUUUGCUUGGAGAAAUACAUGUUCCUUCUAUUUCUCCAAGCAAAGCCCUUCGCAUCGCGAU